rnacentral:lncRNA from 1 species
UCUGGCUUCAAGUGAUUCUCGUGGACUACAGAUAUUGAAAGAGAAGAGAAAUGAAAUUCUGACUGUAAGAAUAUAAGUAAGGGGCCGGGCACGGUGAUGCACGCUUAUAAUCUCAGCACUUUGGAAGGCCAGGGCUGGCGGAUCCCAUGAGCCCAGGAGUUCGAGACCAGCCUGGGCAACAUAGUGAGACCCUGUCUCUACAAAAAAUUAGCUGGGUGUGGUGGUACUCACCUGUCCCAGCUAUCUGGAAGGCCAAGGUGGGAGGUCAAGGCUGCAGUGAGCCAUGAUUGCGACACUGCAUUCUAGCCUGGGUGACAGAGUGAGACCCUGUUUCAAUUAAAAAAAAUAUAUAGAUAGAUAGAUAGAUUUAUAUGGCCCUAGAAUACUUUAGCUAUCAAGUGUAACCAGUAAUUUUA